rnacentral:scRNA from 1 species
GCCUGUUCCCCCUCGUCGGCCAGGUUGUUGUG